rnacentral:rRNA from 1 species
UACGAAGGGGGCUAGCGUUGCUCGGAAUUAUUGGGCGUAAAGAGCUUGUAGGCGGUUUGUCGCGUCUGCUGUGAAAUUUCGGGGCUCAACCCCGAACUUGCAGUGGGUACGGGCAGACUAGAGUGUGGUAGGGGGAGACUGGAAUUCCUGGUGUAGCGGUGAAAUGCGCAGAUAUCAGGAGGAACACCGAUGGCGAAGGCAGGUCUCUGGGCCAUAACUGACGCUGAGAAGCGAAAGCAUGGGGAGCGAACAGG